CUACGGGUGGCUCCAGUGAGGAAUAUUGCACAAUGGGGGAAACCCUGAUGCAGCAACGCCGCGUGGAGGAUGACGCAUUUCGGUGUGUAAACUCCUUUUAUCAGAGAAGAAAAUGACGGUAUCUGAUGAAUAAGCUCCGGCUAACUCCGUGCCAGCAGCCGCGGUAAUACGGAGGGAGCAAGCGUUAUUCGGAAUCACUGGGCGUAAAGGACGCGUAGGCGGGUUAUUAAGUCAGGUGUGAAAUCCAAUGGCUCAACCAUUGAACUGCACUUGAAACUGGUAACCUAGAGUAUGGAAGGGGCAGAUGGAAUUAGUGGUGUAGGGGUAAAAUCCGUAGAUAUCACUAGGAAUACCGAAAGCGAAGGCGAUCUGCUGGGACAUUACUGACGCUGAGGCGUGAAAGCGUGGGGAGCAAACAGGAUUAGAUACCCGUGUAGUC
rnacentral:rRNA from 1 species